GCAGGAGCCCAGUAUCCAGAAUUUACAGUGACCAGCUCAAUCAAAGAGCAAACCAAAGAAUUAAAAGUACUAAUUCAAGAACAAAGGGACAAGUUUACCCCUCAACAGUGUGAAAUGCUCAUGGAGAACAUGCAGCCAGGAUUAGAGCUCUACUGUGUGCUAAUGGCAGUAAUACUGAAAAGCAAUUUGAUGUCGUGAUGGUUUAUUUAUUUUUUGUUCAGUUUUGAACACAUUCUCUGUUAUUUGUUGACUGAUAUCGACAAUGCUUAAAAUUUUAAGGGUGUCUGAAAAUGUACCUAUAUUUUUCUGUAUAUUUGAAUGUCUAUUUCUAUGUUUAUGAUUUUAUUCUAUUUUGUCUUAUUUUAUUUUAUUUUAUGCAACAAAACACCAAUGCAAACUAUUUUAGUUUGUUACAUACAACACAGUUUUAUAACAAGAGCCAUAUUUCAGUUAUAUAGAAUUUGUAGUGGCAAGGUGAUAGAUAGCUCAGAAUCAACCCCUGUUUAAUCUAUCUAAUCUACUCCAUAAUGCUGGUUAGUUUUAAGACGUGUUAUUUGCUCUCACCAUAAACAGCGGAUGUUCACUCUAACUUGUCUGUGGUUUUCUGUAGAAGCGGAGUGUGUGGUCAGGUUUCACACACCAUCGCACAAAGUUCAUGUUGCACAAAUAGAUCCACCUGAAAUGCACAUGCGCACACACACACACACACACACACACAUGCAUACUCUGAUGGCCAACUACAAAAGGAAAUUUACACACAACAGUCACUCUUAAGUUGCUGCACAUGUAUCUCUCAUCUAAACUACAUCUGAGCUGAGAGCCAUGAAUGUUGAAGCUCAUCUAACUGCACCUGUUCCACAGCAGCCAAGUGUUUUCUGGACAUCCUGCACGGCCCGCAGUGGCUCAGUACACCACUGUGAAUGUUACUGCUGAGCUCCCCAGGGACCACAUCAUCUGGUCCCCCUUGUCCUUGGUGUACUCAAACCUGUUCUGCCUCGGACUGGCUGAGGCCAGAGACCAGAAGAUGGUUGGAGAUCUGGAAGGUUCCCGACAACGAAACCAGUUAGUGAUAUACAUGUAGAAAUACAUAAUAACAACAAAAUAAAGUGAAAUGUCCAUUUUAUUUGUGAGUCACUGGGACCUUUUCUUACUUCCUCAAUUAGUGCUGUUUUUUUCAUUACCCUUGAGUGAAAGAAACUGCUAAAAUGAUUCUGAUUCAAAUUCAGCUGUAACACAAUAAAAUAUGUAUUUUAA